GCUGGUUUGAUUUUGUCCUGAUGAUAUGAGGUUUUCUGCAUUUGAAGGAGCUAAACAAAAGAAUGAGAAAAAUGAAAGUGAUGCUGGUUUGAUUUUGUCCUGAUGAUAUGAGGUUUUCUGCAUUUGAAGGAGCUAAACAAAAGAAUGAGAAAAAUGAAAGUGAUGCUGGUUUCAUUUUGUCCUGAUGAUAUGAGGUUUUCUGCA